AUGAUUUCCGUUAAGGAGAUCUUUUGGCACCUCUAAAAAUGGUGCAGAAUAAGGGGUGGGCAAGUCUGGUGUCAGCCGCCGCGGUAAUACCAGCACCCCGAGUGGUCGGGACGUUUAUUGGGCCUAAAGCAUCCGUAGCCGGUUCUACAAGUCUUCCGUUAAAUCCACCUGCUUAACAGAUGGGCUGCGGAAGAUACUAUAGAGCUAGGAGGCGGGAGAGGCAAGCGGUACUCGAUGGGUAGGGGUAAAAUCCGUUGAUCGCAUUGAAGACCACCAGUGGCGAAGGGCGGCUUGCCAGAACGCGCUCGACCGGGGUGCAGCAGGCGAUGAAAGCUGGGGGAGCAAACCGGAUUAGAUACCCGUGUAAAUCCA
rnacentral:rRNA from 1 species